GACGAACGCUGGCGGCGUGCUUAACACAUGCAAGUCGAACGGAAAGGCCUUGCUUUUGUGGGGUGCUCGAGUGGCGAACGGGUGAGUAACACGUGAGUAACCUGCCCUUGACUUUGGGAUAACUUCAGGAAACUGGGGCUAAUACCGGAUAGGAGCUCCUGCUGCAUGGUGGGUGUUGGAAAGUUUCGUCGGUUGGGGAUGGACUCGCGGCUUAUCAGCUUGUUGGUGGGGUAGUGGCUUACCAAGGCUUUGACGGGUAGCCGGCCUGAGAGGGUGACCGGCCACAUUGGGACUGAGAUACGGCCCAGACUCCUACGGGAGGCAGCAGUGGGGAAUAUUGCACAAUGGGCGGAAGCCUGAUGCAGCAACGCCGCGUGCGGGAUGACGGCCUUCGGGUUGUAAACCGCUUUCGCCUGUGACGAAGCGAGAGUGACGGUAAUGGGUAAAGAAGCACCGGCUAACUACGUG
rnacentral:rRNA from 1 species